UACGGGGGGGGCAAGCGUUGUUCGGAAUUACUGGGCGUAAAGCGCACGUAGGUGGCGACGUAAGUCGGGUGUGAAAGCCCCGGGCUCAACCUGGGAAUUGCAUUCGAGACUGCAUUGCUGGAGUACGGAAGAGGAAGGCGGAAUUCCCGGUGUAGCGGUGAAAUGCGUAGAUAUCGGGAGGAACAUCAGUGGCGAAGGCGGCCUUCUGGUCCAGUACUGACACUCAAGUGCGAAAGCGUGGGGAGCAAACAGG
rnacentral:rRNA from 1 species